rnacentral:rRNA from 1 species
UACAGAGGGUGCGAGCGUUGUCCGGAAUCACUGGGCGUAAAGGGCGCGUAGGCGGCUUUUCAAGCGUGCGGUGAAAGCUCGGGGCUUAACUCCGAGUCUGCCGUGCGAACUGGGAGGCUUGAGUCUGGUAGAGGUCGAUGGAAUUCCGGGUGUAGCGGUGGAAUGCGUAGAGAUCCGGAAGAACACCGGUGGCGAAGGCGGUCGACUGGGCCAGUACUGACGCUGAGGCGCGACAGCGUGGGGAGCAAACGGG